rnacentral:tRNA from 1 species
AUAGCUCAAUGGUAGAGCACUGGCUUAGCAUACCUGAGAUCCUGGGUUCAAUCCCAGU